AAAAAAGCAGUUUAAUUUCUGUCUGGUUGGAGGAUUUCUGACAUAGUGGAGACACACUCUGUGGCGGAAUGAACACUUGCACAAUGCCGAGGAGUCAUCCGCUACUCCGUGGAGCUUUGUACAAAGUGCUGGACAUGCAAAGAGCAGCAGGCAGUCUGAGGAUAGGGUCCAGUCAGUCAAGUGCUUGUCACCCCGGAACUCAAUCUAAAGUGUAUACAAAAAGUGAGAAGACACAGAAGGAAAAGGAUGCAGAUGCCUCUCUGGUUACUAUGGAAUUAUGCUAAAGCAUGUUUGCUACAUUAUAGAUAUAAGUCCUUACCAUCAAAAUGUGUAUAGACAUUUACAUAUAGAUUACUGUAUAGUCUGUCAGCUGAGAGACCUUAGGAAUUAAACCAUCCCAAAAGAAACACAUCAUCUUGCAAAAUUUUUUAUAUGAUUCUUCAACUAAAUGAACUAGAUCUCACUGAAGACAUGGCUGGGUCUCACGCUUGGUGAACAGCAUACACAGGAGCAUGGAAUAUCUUGUCAUGUAUGAAAAGAAAGAAGUGACAACUAAAAUGAUUGAGUAUUUGUCAGAGUCAAAUGCUAAUCUAAGAGACCUACACCCUACACCAGCAAAAGCCGGAACAAUAAAUAAAGCAGCAAUAUAUUGAAAGGUGACAUGUAAAAUAUAUACCUAUAAAUAUGUAAGUGUGCAUACAAUUAAUUGAAUAUACAUAAAUGAAAAAUAGAGAAUUAUCCCUUGAAGAA